rnacentral:sRNA from 1 species
GUAAAAAUAUUGUAUUCACUCUGGGACUAGGCCGGUUGAUAUUAGCGAGACGUCUAAACCACCUCAGAUAUUUUAGAGAGUUCCUUUUAAACACUUAUCUCUUUUACAAUUAUCUAAUUUUUUUACUAAAAUAAAAA